GCGGCCUAUCAGCUUGUCGGUGAGGUAAUGGCUCAGCAAGGCGACGACGGGUAGACGGCCUGAGAGGAUGACCGGCCACACUGGGACUGAGACACGGCCCAGACUCCUACGGGAGGCAGCAGUGGGGAAUAUUGCACAAUGGGCGCAAGCCUGAUGCAGCGACGCCGCGUGAGGGAUGACGGGCUUCGGGUUGUAAACCUCUUUCAGUAGGGAAGAAGCGAAAGUGACGGUACCUGCAGAAGAAGCACCGGCUAUCUACGUNCCAGCAGCCGCGGUAAUACGUAGGGUGCGAGCGUUAUCCUGAAUUAUUGGGCGUAAAGAUCUGGUUGGCGGUCUGUUGUCUCUGUCGUGAAAGUCCGUCGCUUAACCCCGGAUCUGCGGUGGGUACGGGCAGACUAGAGUGCAGUAGGGGAGACUGGAAUUCCUGGUGUAGCGGUGGAAAGCGCAGAUAUCAGGAGGCACACCGAUGGCGAAGGCAGGUCUCUGUGCUGUGUCUUACGCUGAGUUUCGAAGGCAUGGGGAGCGGUUAGGAUCAGAUACCUUGGUAGUCCAUCCCGUAAUCGUUGGGCACUAGGUGUGGCGACCAGGGCUCCGGUCGUCCCGACCUGCAACUAACGCAUUAAGUGCCGC
rnacentral:rRNA from 1 species